AUGGUUACACUUGGUGGAGAUAUGGCGAUUCUUCGUGAUGUUUGGAUGCCAAGCAGCCAAUGCUAUUUCACAGGGCCACUUUGGCCGUCUUUUGAGGCGGAAAAUUUUGAGCUAAAGCCUGGUCUUAUUGCUUUGGUUCAACAACAUCAGUUUGGAGGGUUGCCUACUGAAGACCCUUAUGAGCACUUGCUCCGAGUCAUGGAGUAUUCAGAGACAGUAAAGUACCUUGGAGUACCUGAAGAUGCUAUCAAGUGCAUGCUGUUCACAUUCUCUCUCCGAGAUGAUGCUCGUGCUUGGUAUCGAUCCUUGCCAUCAAGAUCAUUCGGUUGGAACGAGCGUGAAGGCGAGAGCUUGUAUGAUGCUUGGGAGAGAUACAAAGCCUUAUUCAGGAGAUGUCCUAAUCAUGGGCUCGAGAGAUGGUUAGAGCUGCAGAUAUUCUAUAGAGGAUUGACUUCGGACACUCGAGCUUACGUCGAUAUGGCAGCGGGUGGAGCUAUUACAAACAAGACACUUGAUGAAGCUUUUCUGUUGAUUGAGAGCAUAGCUUUCCACCAACUUCAGUGGUACAAUAAGAAGCCCACGUCCGAUUCAUUGGUUUGCUUGCAACAAAUCACUACACCUCAGCCACCAAUUCUUACAUAG
rnacentral:rRNA from 1 species